rnacentral:lncRNA from 1 species
GCUCAUCACAACCUCCACCUCCCGGGCCCAAGCGAUUCUCCUGCCUCAGCCUCCCGAGUAGCUGGGAUUACAGGCACGUGCCACUAUGGCCUGGCUAAUUUUUGUAGUUUUAGUAGAGAAAGGGUUUCACCAUGUUGGCCAGGCUGGUCUUGAACUCCUGACCUCAAAUGAUCCACCUGCCUCGGCCUCCCAAAAUGCUGGGAUU